rnacentral:rRNA from 1 species
UGGGGAAUAUUGCACAAUGGGCGCAAGCCUGAUGCAGCGACGCCGCGUGGGGGAUGACGGCCUUCGGGUUGUAAACUCCUUUCGCCAGGGACGAAGCGUUCUGUGACGGUACCUGGAGAAGAAGCACCGGCUAACUACGUGCCAGCAGCCGCGGUAAUACGUAGGGUGCAAGCGUUGUCCGGAAUUACUGGGCGUAAAGAGCUCGUAGGUGGUUUGUCACGUCGUCCGUGAAAUUCCACAGCUUAACUGUGGGCGUGCAGGCGAUACGGGCUGACUUGAGUACUGUAGGGGUAACUGGGAUUCCUGGUGUAGCGGUGAAAUGCGCAGAUAUCAGGAGGAACACCGAUGGCGAAGGCAGGUUACUGGGCAGUUACUGACGCUGAGGAGCGAAAGCAUGGGUAGCAAACAGGAUUAGAUACCCUGGUAGUCCAUGCCGUAAACGGUGGGCGCUAGGUGUAGGGACCUUUUGGGGUUUCUGUGCCGUAGCUAACGCAUUAAGCGCCCCGCCUGGGGAGUACGGCCGCAAGGCUA